rnacentral:rRNA from 1 species
AUUGGGUAGGGGAGCGUUCUGUAAGCCGUUGAAGGUGAAUCGUAAGGUUUGCUGGAGGUAUCAGAAGUGCGAAUGCUGACAUGAGUAACGACAAAGGGGGUGAAAAACCUCCUCGCCGGAAGACCAAGGGUUCCUGUCCAACGUUAAUCGGGGCAGGGUGAGUCGACCCCUAAGGUGAGGCCGAAAGGCGUAAUCGAUGGGAAACGGGUUAAUAUUCCCGUACUUCUGACUAUUGCGAUGGGGGGACGGAGAAGGCUAGGUGGGCCAGGCGACGGUUGUCCUGGUUCAAGUGCGUAGGCUUGAGAGUUAGGUAAAUCCGGCUCUCUCUAAGGCUGAGACACGACGUCGAGCUGCUACGGCAGUGAAGUCAUUGAUGCCAUGCUUCCAGGAAAAGCCUCUAAGCUUCAGAUAGUCAGGAAUCGUACCCCAAACCGACACAGGUGGUCGGGUAGAGAAUACCAAGGCGCUUGAGAGAACUCGGGUGAAGGAACUAGGCAAAAUGGUACCGUAACUUCGGGAGAAGGUACGCUCUUGAUGGUGA